AGAGUUUGAUCCUGGCUCAGAAUGAACGCUGGCGGCGUGCUUAACACAUGCAAGUCGUACGAGAACUCUUCUGCUUGCAGAAGAUAGUAAAGUGGCGCACGGGUGAGUAACGCGUGGGUAAUCUACCUCCGACUCGGGGAUAACAUUGCGAAAGUGAUGCUAAUACCGGAUAAUAUCUAUUUUGCUUCGGCAUUUUAGAUCAAAGGUGGUCUCUACAUGUAAGCUACUGAUUGGAGAUGAGCCCGCGUACCAUUAGCUUGUUGGUAGGGUAAUGGCCUACCAAGGCUACGAUGGUUAGCUGGUCUGAGAGGAUGAUCAGCCACACUGGAACUGACACACGGUCCAGACUCCUACGGGAGGCAGCAGUGAGGAAUUUUGCGCAAUGGGGGAAACCCUGACGCAGCAACGCCGCGUGAGUGAUGAAGGCUUUCGGGUCGUAAAGCUCUGUCAAGUGGGAAGAAAAAGCCUGAUGCUAAUACUAUCAGGAACUGACGGUACCACUGAAGGAAGCACCGGCUAACUCCGUGCCAGCAGCCGCGGUAAUACGGGGGGUGCAAGCGUUAUUCGGAAUCAUUGGGCGUAAAGAGCGCGUAGGCGGCCUCUUAAGUCAGAUGUGAAAGCCCGGGGCUUAACCCCGGAAGUGCAUUUGAAACUAUUGGGCUUGAGUAUGGGAGAGGGAAGUGGAAUUCCUGGUGUAGAGGUGAAAUUCGUAGAUAUCAGGAGGAACACCGGUGGCGAAGGCGACUUCC
rnacentral:rRNA from 1 species